rnacentral:lncRNA from 1 species
GUUUGCCCACCGGACGGCCCUGCUAGGUGGGAAGCUCCUUGCAGGCAGGAACCCCAUCUCCUUGACUUUACUUUGGAAUCCCCGCAGCCUCAUACGGGGCUGAGGCAGGUCCUUCCGUAAAAUGGAACUGAAUGAGCGGCGCUUAAUCCAUCCGCCAAAGGCCAGUCUCCCUUGGGUUUUCAACAGCUACACGGUGAAGACACAGAUGUCCACAUCUUCUGCAGAUAAGGAAACUGAGGGGUAAUAAUAAAUAAUUUGCACAACACAGCACAAAGCUGAGGAGCCAACACUGGACCUGACGAAGUCCCAUUCUGGAAGCCAAACUCCCAACUGCUAAGCUCUGCUUGAAUUCUCAUUGAGCAUCUCGCUUCUUAAAAGUUUCAACAACUCAGCAGUCUAUAAUCCAACUCGCCUUCUCCACAAUGCCAAAAGUGCAAUGAGCUUCAUGCUGAAUACUGAUUUGAAGUGUGGUUCACCACACAGACUUAAAUUGUCCUUCCCACAACUUUAUCUGAGAAGCAUGACAACGGUGACAAUCACAGGACUAGUUUUAUUGGGACACCCAGUGAACCAAUUUCAAAUGACACCUGAACCUACAUAUUUUUCUUAAACUACUGAACUGGAACAAAAUCAAAA